GAGAGAGAGAGAACUUGAAGCGCGUGGAAUGAAGCAGAGGGAAAUGUGUAAGCCCCCCGACUGGAUUGGAGCGCGUCGCUUUGUAAACAAUAAUGCCUCCCUCCGCCGUCGGCCUGUAGGUGUUACACUCGGCGGCGCAGAGCAUCUCGAUUUUACGGAGGUCGUUUCACCUUGCCGAGCUAUCCCACGAGCCCAUAGCUACCCUGCUGCUCGCAAAAAGAAAACGAUAUUUCUUCGUGGGAACUCCGACGCAAAUUACAAGAGGCGGUCACGGCAGCUACGGGGGCUGCGGGGAGGGGGGGGCUCUCUUUUGACCUAGCGGGACGCUCAAGUGCUGAUGAAACUUUGAUUCCAGCUUAGUCGCAUUUGAUUCCUCAAGCCAUUAACGCGCGGCUGGUGAUACAAGACUCCCCCGCGUCAUGCGCGGUUAAUGUUUCCCCGAGGGUUACCGGCUCGCAAGUCCGCAAGACCGGUCUCACCGACGAAAACUCGUCCUUUUGCCGACAGACACGCCGCGCCGUCGAGAGUUUCGAGAGAUAUUCCGAGAGUAGUAACGACGCGCGCAGGGCUAAUCACGCGGGUUAAGAGGGCUCAAUCAGGGAGAGAUUACUUAUUUCCAGCCGUGUAACCCCCAAACACACGCCCACGUAGGUAGCCGUCGCGUCGCGCAGAAAACCGGAGGGAACCUAUCUAUCCUUCAUCCGGUGCGGCCGUCGGCGUCGGCGUCAGCGUCAGCGUCGGCGUCGGCGUCGGCGAUGAUCGAUUCGAUUAUCCGUCGCCGAUGUUAAAAUGUUCGAAUGUUGGAGUCUCAUUCAACAGAUUCGCGGGAAAUUCGCUGGGACGAUGAUAGCAUUUGCACGGUUAUUAAUAGCGAUCUUGCGGGACGCUCGCUAACCUCCGGCCGCGCGCGCGGCCUCAUCAUUGCCUCUCAUGCGCGUAGCAUUGCGUAAUGUCGCAUUAAACGUGGGAUCUCGUGCUCCGUCGUGAAAGUAAAGCUACGCUCACAGAGCAUCGAGUGGUAUAACUACGACGGAUACGGCGACGGCGACAGCGACGACGACGAUGACGACGACGAGGUCGUGUCGUGGUUCGAUGAUCAGGCAGCUCCACCGACGACGUCGCGAUGACAACUGAAAGACCGCGUAUAUGUACGUGCGUCAAGGCGGAGCUGAAGAGGCGCCCCCCGGAGUGUGCCUACCGAAGUCGGAACACACCAGGUGUGUCAGAGAGCCUCAAACCGGGGAAAUUCUGCCGGCAGGACCUUGAAGUUGCCCAAUCGAGAAAUGUCUGCUUACAAUUUGCACGAGAGGGAUACCAACUUUUUGGAGAGAUCGUUUUCUUUCGAUCGAUGUAUCUGUAUCAUACUGACCGCUUUCCGAUAGAAAGCGCGUCUCUAGUGCAAUUUUUUCUUCGGAGCUGAGCACCACUGUUGUUACUUUCACGUCGCUGGAUGAUUCAGGCCUGAUGAAAGAACUUAUGGAAAAUAAUAAAAAUAAUAAGAAGAAGAAGAGUUUUAUCCACUGGCCCCUGUCUACCUUGAGCGGUUCUCCGUCACUCUAUCCUGUCCCUUUCGAAACAUCUUUCUGUCAAACUGCUUUACCGUUGCACAACCCUCCGCUCGCGAUUUUCUCAAUUUUAUUC
rnacentral:misc_RNA from 1 species